AAGAAGUCAGGCCCCAAAGCCACGGUUUGAGCAAACCGUGCUGCCUGUAGCUCCGUCGUGGGGACGUAAAAACCUGGGAGGCUGCAAACUGUGGAAGCUGUACGCACAGUGUAGCAGACUAGUGGUUAGAGGAGACCCCUCCCAUGACACAACGCAGCAGCGGGGCCCGAGCACUGAGGGAAGCUGUACCUCCUUGCAAAGGACUAGAGGUUAGAGGAGACCCCCCGCAAACAAAAACAGCAUCGUGAAGCUCA
rnacentral:lncRNA from 1 species